rnacentral:lncRNA from 1 species
UCCGGUGGAAACGUGGCGUAGUAACCUCCAUGUCCUGAGCUGUAGUCUCCAUACCAUUGUUGGCUCUGAACUUCUUCAAUCUUAGCUUCACUUUCUGAAGAGGCUAGGGAUGGAGACUUGUUUCCAGAGGCGGAAGGCUGAGUGGGUGGGUUCCUCCGUUGUCGCUGGAGCUGUCUAUCAGUGAGUGGGAAACCAAGAUCAGUGGGGUGAGGUGGGGGCUGGGGGACUGAUGUGUUCGCGAAGGCGAAGUCCGCUGAGCUACAUCCAGCUAUUCCUCCUCUGGUCAAGACAUCGGCCACUUUCUUCAUGAACUUGGCUGAAGUCUUUGCUUGCUUCUUCACCGUCUUGCUCAGUGCCUUGCACUUGUCCUUCAGCUUUUCGAUCGUUCUGUCUUGUGCCUUGUUCCAUCGCUGAAGUCGGCUAAUGUGGUCAUGAGCAUCACGAAGCGCACCAGGGGGAAGGACUCCAUCAUGCGGCUUGAAGUAGUAGCGUGGAGGUC